rnacentral:rRNA from 1 species
GACGAACGCUGGCGGCACGCUUAACACAUGCAAGUCGAACGGAGAAUUUUAAGUUUACUUGAAAUUCUUAGUGGCGGACGGGUGAGUAACACGUGAGCAACCUGCCUUUGAGAGAGGGAUAGCUUCGGGAAACUGAUGGUAAUACCGCAUGAAACCACAGUAUCGCAUGAUACAAUGGUCAAAGGNGAAAUCCGCUGACAGAUGGACUCGCGUCUGAUUAGAUAGUUGGUGAGGUAACGGCUCACCAAGUCGACGAUCUGUAGCCGAACUGAGAGGUUGAUCGGCCACAUUGGGACUGAGACACGGCCCAGACUCCUACGGGAGGCAGCAGUGGGGAAUAUUGCGCAAUGGGGGAAACCCUGACGCAGCAACGCCGCGUGAAGGAAGAAGGCCUUCGGGUUGUAAACUUCUGUC